GACCCCGCACAAGCGGUGGAUCAUGUUGUUUAAUUCGAAGAUACGCGAAAAACCUUACCAGGUCUUGACAUCCCUUGCAAUGCUGUAGAGAUACAGUGGAGGUUAUCAAGGAGACAGGUGGUGCAUGGUUGUCGUCAGCUCGUGUCGUGAGAUGUUGGGUUAAGUCCCGCAACGAGCGCAACCCUUAUUGCUAGUUGCCAUCAUUUAGUUGGGGACUCUAGCGAGACUGCCAGUGAUAAACUGGAGGAAGGUGGGGAUGACGUCAAAUCAUCAUGCCCCUUAUGACCUGGGCUACAAACGUGAUACAAUGGCUAUUACAGAGGGCCGCAAAGCUGUGAAGUGAAGCAAAUCUCUUAAAGCUUGUCUCAGUUCGGAUAGGAGUCUGCAACUCGACUCCUUG
rnacentral:rRNA from 1 species